rnacentral:misc_RNA from 1 species
GGAAGUAAAAGUCGUAACAAGAUUUCCGUAGGUGAACCUGCGGAAGGAUCAUUCAUAAUAAGUGUUUUAUGGCACUUUUUUAAAUCCAUAUCCACCUUGUGUGCAAUGUCAGGGUUGAUUUUUCUCUCGAGAGGAUCAACCCCAAACAUCAACUAUAUCUCAACUCUUUGUCUGAAAAAUAUUAUGAAUAAAACAAUUCAAAAUACAACUUUCAACAACGGAUCUCUUGGCUCUC